ACAAGCUUUUUAAAGAUAUCUAGUAAAAAGGCCCUUCAAAUCCAUUUUCGGGAUUAUAAGGGCCUUAACUCUACAAAUGAUUCUCAAAGUUAAAUUUUUAAAUUAAUUAUUUUCGUAUAUAUCUAAUUCCAUAAAAAUUAAUCUUUUUUUGUUUUGAUGUAAUAGUAUAUAAACAAAAGUACAUAUGCUAAAGGUAUUAAAAGCAAUAUUUUUAAAUCAAUAUCAAAUGUAUUAGUAUAAAAUGAUAAUGCAAGUGAUAAUAUCACAAUUAUCAGGUUUGGAAUUGUUUUUAAAAAAACCUUAUAAAGCCUUUUUUUCAUAUUAUUCCUCCUAAAAAAGCAUGUCUUUUAAGUUUGAUAGAACCAAUGAUCAUAUCUAUAAGUAUAUGUUGCACCCUGAAAAUUCCACUUAUCCUCUAUAUAUGAUAAAACAAUCCCAUAAUUAGUAUUUAUACCAUCCAUGUUAAUUGUUAUUAUCUUUCCAAUUGCCACUACAUCAAGCUCUACCCAAAUUUUUGGUAAAAAACCUCCAAAAGUAGAUGCAAGAUCUGUUCCAGCUUUUAUUUUCUUUAAUGUCUUUCCACUUACAUAAAUAUAUAAAUAGUUUUUACCAUUUUUAGUAAAAGUUCUGUAUUUGUUAUACCCAUUUAUAUAUUUCACACGAGAAUUUUGAUUUACUUUCUUAGCAGAAUCGUCCACUUCUUGAUUGAUUUUAUCCAAUUCCUUUUGAGUAAAUUGACCUGUUUUAAUUAAGAUCUCAUCAAUCUUUUCAUCUGAAAAAAUUUUAUCCUCAGGCCAGUAAUUAUGUAAUUCCUCUACUUCUUUGUCAGACAACUCUAUUUUCACAUUAUUAUCUGAUUCUGUUUUUUCCAUUGCAUUUGCUGUAACAGCAAGUGGUAAAGAUAUUAUCACAGCUGCCAUCACUGUUGAUAAAAGGAGAUUAAUUCUUUUGAUAUUCAUUUAAAUCCCCCUAACUAUAAUAAAUUUAAGGUUUUAAAAUUAACCCUUUACAUAUAUAACAUAUUUAAUUUUGUUUUUUGGACACAAGUUUUAAAAAAUUUAUAUUUUUAAAACUUAUGAAAAUAUAACAAAAGAUACUUGAUUUGAGAGAAGUGUUUUUAAUAUUAUUAUAUUUCAAACUUAACGCAGUUAAGGUUUUGUAAUUAUUUAUAUUUGUUAUUUAUAAAAUUAAUUUUAAUAUAGUUCAGUUUUUAAUUGACUUCAUACAAAAUAGAAUAUAACUUAUACAAUAAGUGAGUCUGGAAAUAUUUAUGUGUAUUCUUUGAAUAAAAAUUUAUUUUUUUAGUGAUAAUUAAACAUUUAUUGGUAAGGCUAUGGCUUUAAAAAUCAUAGCCUUAUUUUGAUAUUUUUUCCAUUUUUGUAAAAAUUAUUAUCCCUUUAAGAAAAUUUCUUAAUUUUUUUGAAAUAUUUCUUUAUUAAUUUAGAGUUAAAAUUCUUUCUUCAAAAUAAAUACUUAAAUGAGCUAAGAUUUGAGUCCAAUUUCUAAUCUUUUGAGUCCAUCUUUCAGAAAUAUCCAUAGUUGCUAAGUAUAAUGAUUUGUGCAAAGAAUCAUCUGAAGGAAAAAUAGACUUCGAUUUAGUAACUUUUCUUAAUAAUCUAUUGUAACUUUCCAUUGAAUUUGUAGUAUAUAUCAAUGUUCUUAUCUCUUGAGGAUAUUUAAAGUAUGUUGCUAGCUCAUUCCAAUUACUUCGCCAACUUCUUAAUGCUAUCGCAUAUUGAUUACCCCAUUUUUCCUCUAAGAGCGAUAGCUCACUUAAUGCUACUUCCUCUGUAAUUGCAGCAUAUACUUUCUUUAAAUCUUUUGCAAAUUCUUUUCUAUUUUUAUAUGAUACAUAAUUUAAAGUAUUUCUAAUUUGAUGUACAACACAUCUUUGUAUUUCAGUAUCAGGAAAUACUGCUUUAAUUGCAUCAGAAAAUCCAACUAAUCCAUCUACAGAAGUUAUUAAUAUAUCCUUAACUCCUCUGUUUUUGACAUCUGUAAGCACCUUUAGCCAAUACUUUGAACUUUCAUUUUCUCCAAUCCAUAUUCCUAAGACCUCCGUUAUACCUUCUAAGUUAACACCUAUGGCUAUAUAUGCAGCUUUGUUUAUUAUUCUACCUUCACUUCUAACUUUAUAAUGUAUAGCAUCCAUAAAUACAAUUGGAUAAACCAUAUCAAGAGGUCUGUUUUGCCAUUCAUGAGCUAAAGGUAGAACUCUAUCAGUAAUUUUAGCUACUAGAGAAUGAGAUAUAUCAAUUCCGUAAAUACUCUUAAGGUGGCUUGAUAUAUCUCGAGUAGACAUGCCUUUUGAGUACAUUCCAAUCACUUGGUUCUCUAUUCCUGAUAUAUCAUUUUUAUAAUUACUAAUUACCUUUGGUUCAAAAUCUCCAUUUCGAUCUCUUGGAAUAUUUAAAGUUAUUUCUCCAAAAUCUGAUUUAACAUUUUUAUUUCUAUAUCUAUUUCUAGAGUUUUUAGUAUUUUUAUUCUUAUUGUCAUAUCUAUCAUAACCUAAAUGGUCGUCAAGCUCCGCUUCUAACAUUUGAUGAAUUGUACUCGCAAAUAAAUCUUUUAGCAUAUCUUGAAUAUCUGUAGUUGUUUUAACAUCAUAUUCUUCAAUAAGUUUUUUUAAUAUUU
rnacentral:rRNA from 1 species